rnacentral:rRNA from 1 species
GGGGAAUAUUGGACAAUGGGCGCAAGCCUGAUCCAGCAAUGCCGCGUGGAUGAAGAAGGUUUUCGGAUUGUAAAGUCCUUUCGGCGGGGACGAUGAUGACGGUACCCGCAGAAGAAGCCCCGGCUAACUUCGUGCCAGCAGCCGCGGUAAUACGAAGGGGGCUAGCGUUGCUCGGAAUGACUGGGCGUAAAGGGCGCGUAGGCGGAUUGUCUUGUCGGGCGUGAAAUUCCAGGGCUCAACCUUGGGUGGUCGUUCGAGACGGGCAGUCUAGAGUUUGGCAGAGGGUCGUGGAAUUCCCAGUGUAGAGGUGAAAUUCGUAGAUAUUGGGAAGAACACCGGUGGCGAAGGCGGCGACCUGGUCCUUGACUGACGCUGAGGCGCGAAAGCGUGGGGAGCAAAC